CCUACGGGAGGCAGCAGUAGGGAAUCUUCCGCAAUGGACGAAAGUCUGACGGAGCAACGCCGCGUGAGUGAUGAAGGCUUUCGGGUCGUAAAACUCUGUUGUUAGGGAAGAACAAGUGCUAGUUGAAUAAGCUGGCACCUUGACGGUACCUAACCAGAAAGCCACGGCUAACUACGUGCCAGCAGCCGCGGUAAUACGUAGGUGGCAAGCGUUAUCCGGAAUUAUUGGGCGUAAAGCGCGCGCAGGUGGUUUCUUAAGUCUGAUGUGAAAGCCCACGGCUCAACCGUGGAGGGUCAUUGGAAACUGGGAGACUUGAGUGCAGAAGAGGAAAGUGGAAUUCCAUGUGUAGCGGUGAAAUGCGUAGAGAUAUGGAGGAACACCAGUGGCGAAGGCGACUUUCUGGUCUGUAACUGGCACUGAGGCGCGAAAGCGUGGGGAGCAAACAGGAUUAGAUACCCUGGUAGUCCACGCCGUAAACGACGAGUGCUAAGUGUUAGAGGGUUUCCGCCCUUUAGUGCUGAAGUUAACGCAUUAAGCACUCCGCCUGGGGAGUACGGCCGCAAGGCUGAAACUCAAAGGAAUU
rnacentral:rRNA from 1 species